rnacentral:rRNA from 1 species
UUCCGGUUGAUCCUGCCGGAGGCCAUUGCUAUCGGAGUCCGAUUUAGCCAUGCUAGUCGCACGGGUUCAGACCCGUGGCGAAUAGCUCCGUAACACGUGGCCAAUCUACCCUUCAGACGCGAAUACCCUCGGGAAACUGAGGCUAAUCCGCGAUAUCACUGCCAUCCUGGAAUGGCGGCAGUACAAAACGCCCCGGCGCUGAAGGAUGAGGCUGCGGCCGAUUAGGUAGACGGUGGGGUAACGGCCCACCGUGCCAAUAAUCGGUACGGGUUGUGAGAGCAAGAACCCGGAGACGGAAUCUGAGACAAGAUUCCGGGCCCUACGGGGCGCAGCAGGCGCGAAACCUUUACACUGCACGCCAGUGCGAUAAGGGGACUCCGAGUGCGAGGGCAUAUCGCCCUCGCUUUUCUACACCGUAGGGAGGUGUACGAAUAAGCGCUGGGCAAGACCGGUGCCAGCCGCCGCGGUAAUACCGGCAGCGCAAGUGAUGGCCGAUCUUAUUGGGCCUAAAGCGUCCGUAGCUGGCCAGGCAAGUCCAUCGGGAAAUCCACCCGCUCAACGGGUGGGCGACCGGUGGAAACUGCCCGGCUCGGGACCGGAAGACCCAACGGGUACGUCCAGGGUAGGAGUGAAAUCCCGUAAUCCUGGACGGACCGCCGAUGGCGAAAGCACGUUGGGAAGACGGAUCCGACAGUGAGGGACGAAAGCUAGGGUCUCGAACCGGAUUAGAUACCCGGGUAGUCCUAGCUGUAAACGAUGCUCGCUAGGUGUGGCACAGGCUACGCGCCUGUGCUGUGCCGUAGGGAAGCCGCUAAGCGAGCCGCCUGGGAAGUACGUCCGCGAGGAUGAAGCUUAAAGGAAUUGGCGGGGGAGCACUACAACCGGAGGAGCCUGCGGUUUAAUUGGACUCAACGCCGGA